CAUAAGUCUCCAGAGCUCAAUUCUAGGAUGUUUCCAGUCUUCCAGAUAGCAUGAUACUCAUACACACAUGUGAACAGGAGGUGAACUACAUCAUUCCUCUAUUUUAUGGAUUUUCUUCUUUCUAAUGUGCCUUCUUCCCUCACCAGUUAUAGCCUACAGUGUUUAUGAAAGAAAUUUGCUGGCUUCCAUGAACCAUCCAGCAAUAUUGAAAUAGUAAACACAAGGAAUACAUUCAUAAAUGUACAUAUAAAUUAAUCAAGUAGAGGAGGCCAAAUAUUUACUGAGAAAAAUGUAAAAAAAAAACCACAUAAAAUAAAGAUGUCCACUCUCUGAACACAAUCACUAUUAUAUUAUUAACAUAUAAAAAUUUUACCAAAUAUUGGUAUUCCUUAGUUUGUUGUUCUUAUAAAUAUUAUUUAUAGAAGCUAUCCAUCUUCAUUGAGUUGCUAUUUUAAAGAUGCUAUUUUUUAUUUUAAAUAUUGUGUGUGCCUCUGUGUGAGUAUGUGUACAUGAGUUGUACUUUUGUAGGUAAGAAGAGGGUGUUAGAUGCCCUGAUGCUGGUGGUUGUGAGCUGUCCAACUUACAUGCUAGGAACCAAGCUCAGAUCCUCUGUAAGAGCAGUGUCCUUUGCUGAUGAGUCAUCUCUCAAUGGCCAUGUCUAUAGAGCAUUAUCCUCAGUCUGUAUUUACCAGUUUGCACCUGUGUCUUAUGUGACAAGUCGAUGUGAUCAUUUAAUACUUCCUUUAUUUUAAUAACAGUCUUAUAUUCUCCUUAUUACUGACUGUCUUAGUUAAAUGGAAAAUGGCACAGCCCAAACAGGCUUUCAGAACCAUAGCUCAACAUAUGUUGAUGCUCUUACGAAUCUAUCAUGAAGGUAGAUGUAGAUGUUUAGACUGGACUUACAUAGGCACAGUUGGGAAAGUGUAGAGAUGGAAGCUGAUAUGGAAGAAACUUCAAGGUUUUUCUGGCUUUUAUGGGCUAUGAGUUGCACAUAUGACUUUAAAAAGGGACAGAAAAAAAAAGAUGUAGAAUCACCUUACCUAAGAUAGAUACAAUGCAGAUACACUGGGUUUAAUGGUUCAGGAACUCACUUCCUCCAUUCGUGCCUAAGUCAUGACCUAAGAUAGAUGCAGCAUGCUUGGGUCUCAUGGAGGAAGGCUGGUGAGGAACAUCUGGUCAUCACCAGUCACAUGGCCAUGUAGGUGUCAGGAGGCAGAGCCUCCUAAUUGCAGUCACUGUCUGACAGGCUGAUACAGAGAUCUGGAUCAGAAUAAAAGGACUGAGGGACAGGGCACUUCCAUCCACUCACCUCCCAAGAUACUCACAGAUCCUCAGCUGUCUAUCAUCUUG
rnacentral:lncRNA from 1 species